ensembl:processed_transcript Gm13663 predicted gene 13663
UUCAUGCACCCUGCCUGCCUUUUGUCAGUCACGCAGCCAGCCGUUGGCAGAGGAGUGGGUCUGUGAAGGUCAGGAUGUAUCCAGGGCAAGAAAUAGACUCUUUGUGGUUUUGCCACAUAGAAACACCAGGCAGAUCAGCUUAUUGCCCCGAUAAAGACUGAUAACCAAAGAAGAAGUGAGUGUGUCCUGUGAAAUUUGAUGUCUUAAACUGUACAUCUUGUCCAGGAGAUUUUUCCUCUGGACCUUUCCUCCUCACAGGUGUUGCUACUUGGUCCAAGCUGGGGUGUGUGAUAUCAAGGUUGUAGGUUCUCCCAGGCUGCAUCAGGUAUUGAUGGCCAACAUAAGAACACAUACCAUCUCACCAGGGCCCAGAAUAGAACAUUUGGCAUCCUUUUUGGCUCUUACAACGUUUGCCUUGCAAGCCAGAGGACCCGAGUUUGAUCCCCUUCAGAUCCUGUCAGCUUUUCAGGCAACGGGCAGAAUCCAGAAAGGUAACAGCACAAGGAUAUGGGAAUCUUUGCAGGACCGGUGGCUUUCCUUCCUUCCCUUUUCCAUUUAUCCUUUCUUUAGAAGGCAGAUAAGGCGGCAUUAUUGAUUGAGGAGUGUGCGCAUUAGCUACCAUGGCAACGCAUGUUACUAUUGGC